GGGGGGGGGGGGGGGGGGGCGUGGGGGGUGCGGGGCGGGGGGGCGGGUGAGGAGGUUGCUCCUGUGACGUUAGCGGCGGACGGGUGAGUAACACGUGGGUAACCUACCUAUAAGACUGGGAUAACUUCGGGAAACCGGAGCUAAUACCGGAUAACAUUUGGAACCGCAUGGUUCUAAAGUGAAAGAUGGUUUUGCUAUCACUUAUAGAUGGACCCGCGCCGUAUUAGCUAGUUGGUAAGGUAACGGCUUACCAAGGCGACGAUACGUAGCCGACCUGAGAGGGUGAUCGGCCACACUGGAACUGAGACACGGUCCAGACUCCUACGGGAGGCAGCAGUAGGGAAUCUUCCGCAAUAGGCGAAAGCCUGACGGAGCAACGCCGCGUGAGUGAUGAAGGGUUUCGGCUCGUAAAACUCUGUUAUUAGGGAAGAACAAAUGUGUAAGUAACUGUGCACGUCUUGACGGUACCUAAUCAGAAAGCCACGGCUAACUACGUG
rnacentral:rRNA from 1 species